UUGAAAAACGGUCUCCACUUAUCUAUGUGUUGGAAGAUAUGUCAGGGAAAAAUAUAGGUGUCUGGCAUAUCAAAGAUUUUAAAAACACUAAGUCUAGUGGUUAACAGAUUUUUUUUACAUUUUUUUAAAAUGAGUUGAGACAAGUCACCUUAAAUUAACAUCUUACGACUAGCAUUGGUUUUCUGUGCGAUAAUCACAGAUAACUUGUUAUAGAAGGUCGCGUCAACAUGAUUUUAUAUUGUUGAAGCUAUUGUGUAAGAGAGUUUGUUUGAUAUUAUGAAAGGAUUUUGAUAGUUGAUAGUAUGAAUGUGUAGUGUUAGUAGUAAACUAUAGACGAGUUUUUUUUUGAGAAAAAAACUCUUUCUGAAACGAGGGGGGUAAUGUAACAUUAAUUGUUACAUGUCUUAAUUCUUUUUAAUAAAAUGUUGAGUAAAAUAAAAUUAACAAAACUAUUUACAAAACUAAAACUAUUUACAAAAACUAAACUAUUUACAGUAGCAAACUAAACGCAUCAAAAUUUCUGGCCAGCUACAUUUUAUCACCACGCACGUAUUUAAACGAGCGACAUAUUAGGCACCCGGACCGCACCAGCGACUCCUCGCUUCCACGUCGCCGCUGUCACGGCUGCUGCCAGUGCGAAUCUGGAUAUCGAGGCGAACGCACGCCGGUUUUUUGAACACUAACUUUAAGUUAUUAUAACCGCCAUAGCGAUUAAACUUUUUAAGGGCGUCAUUACCGUUCCCUCGACUAUAUAUCUCGACAUAUAAUAAUACUCAGCAUAUUCAGUGUGUGUGAUUUAAACCCCGAUUGGGGUUUCACGUACACCUUAAGUCUCCUGCUUCCCCGCGGUGGACUGUAGCGGGUUGACCUUCGAACCCUACACCUACACCUGUACCUGGACCUGAUCUCGGCGCGCGGCCACUUGUUCCUGCAGCGACCAGUGACGUCAGGGAAGUGCUAGGCUAGUGAGGAGGUUAAUCACUGUAAAACUGUAUGUAUGGGCUCUAACCCAUUGUUUAUUUCUGCCGACCGAGCUAUACUGUGUUUGUGUGCGGUAAAUAAAUUGUCCAUCUUGCUACCUA